rnacentral:rRNA from 1 species
CGUAGGGUCCGAGCGUUGUCCGGAUUUAUUGAGCGUAAAGAGCUCGUAGGCGGUUUCGUAAGUCGGAUGUGAAAACUCAGGGCUCAACCCGGAGACGCCAUCUGAUACUGCGAUGACUGGAGUCUGGUAGGGGAUCACGGAAUACCUGGUGUAGCGGUGAAAUGCGCAGAUAUCAGGUGGAACACCGAUGGCGAAGGCAGUGAUCUGGGCCAGUACUGACGCUGAGGAGCGAGAGCGUGGGGAGCAAACAGGAUUAGAUACCCUGGUAGUCCACGCCGUAAACGUUGGGCACUAGGUGUGGGUCCUCAUCAACGGGAUCCGUGCCGUAGCUAACGCAUUAAGUGCCCCGCCUGGGGAGUACGGCCGCAAGGCUA